rnacentral:sRNA from 1 species
GAUCCUAGCUAUCGUUCUUUUCACUCUGGUGGAUAUGGCCAGGAUGCCUUGGGUAUGGACCCCAUGAUGGAACAUGAGAUGGGUGGCCACCACCCUGGUGCUGACUAUCCAGUUGAUGGGCUGCCAGAUCUGGGGCAUGCCCAGGACCUCAUGGAUGGGCUGCCUCCAGGUGACAGCAAUCAGCUGGCCUGGUUUGAUACUGACCUGUAAAUCAUCCUUUAGGAAGUGGGAGUCAAAGUGACCCUUGUCUACUGUGAUGCUGAAUUCAUGACUAAGAGACUAUUGGUGAACUUAUCCUGGCUGUGAUUACAGACGUCAAGAGAGAGUACUGCAGCAACACUAAGAAAAUAAUGCAAGAGAACACCCGCGAAGAGUGCCCAGGCAACACUGACAGACUAGAAAAAAAAUAUCAGGAGAUGAAGCUGACACAGUGAGAGCAGCCCAGGUGCUUCUUGGUGCUUGUUAUUACAGACACACACUUCACACAGGGGAGGAUUAUUUUAAUUCUGUGGCCUUCAGAUCUCAUAAAUACAAGUAAAAACAAGCAGGUAACUAUGACAACUUUACUUCAGAGAGUUGAAAUUUCAAAAAUAAACCUAUCCAUCCA